rnacentral:rRNA from 1 species
GAUGAACGCUGGCGGCGUGCCUAAUACAUGUAAGUCGAGCGAAGCGGGGACGGGUGAGUAACACGUGGAUAACCUCCUAUAAGACUGGGAUUACUUCGGGAAACCGGAGCUAAACCGGAUACUUAUCGAUGGAUCAGCGCUGCAUUAGCUAGUUGGUCAGGUAACGGCCUACCAAGGCAACGAUGCAUAGCCGACCUGCGAGGGUGAUCGGCCAAAGUGUAAAGGAGACACGGUCCAGACUCCUACGGGAGGCAGCAGUAGGGAAUCUUCCGCAAUGGGCGAAAGCCUGACGGAGCAACGCCGCGUGAGUGAUGAAGGUCUUCGGAUCGUAAAACUCUGUUAUUAGGGAAGCGGUACCUAAUCAGAAAGCCACGGCUAACUACGUGCCAGCAGCCGCGGUAAUUC